rnacentral:lncRNA from 1 species
GCCGAGUCAAUAUCUUAUCAAAAAUCAUAGUAGGUUUGUUGUGAUAUCCAUAAGGCUUACUAUUAAGAUUGAUGUGGGUUUGUCUUGAUGCAUAUUAGAUGCUUUAUGGUAUAUUUUAGAUAUGCUGCUUUGUUGUGAUAUCUACAAAGAUAGUAUUUUUCAGAUAUGACUAUAUGAAAAAUGAAGGGUCUGACUUAACUACAAAAUACUAUAGUUUGUUGUAAUAUCCACAAAGCUAUGAGUAUUUUUAGAGGUAAGAUUUAUGUUG